rnacentral:rRNA from 1 species
AUUGAACGCUGGCGGCAGGCCUAACACAUGCAAGUCGAGCGAGCGGCGGACGGGUGAGUAAUGUCUGGGAAACUGCCUGAUGGAGGGGGAUAACUACUGGAAACGGUAGCUAAUACCGCAUACCAUCAGAUGUGCCCAGAUGGGAUUAGCUAGUAGGGGGGGUAACGGCUCACCUAGGCGACGAUCCCUAGCUUGUCUGAGAGGAUGACCAGCCAGAUUAGAACUGAGACACGGUCCAGACUCCCACGGGAGGCUGCGGUGGGGAAUAUUGCACAAAGGGAACAAGCCUGAUGCAGCCAUGGCGCGUGUGUGAAGAAAGCUUUCGGGUUGUAAAGCACUUUCAGCGAGGGGGCGUAACCCGCAGAAGAAGCACCGGCUAACUCCGUGCCAGCAGCCGCGGUAAUAC